GAUGAACGCUGGCGGCGUGCCUAAUACAUGCAAGUCGAGCGAACAGACGAGGAGCUUGCUCCUCUGACGUUAGCGGCGGACGGGUGAGUCACACGUGGAUAACCUACCUAUAAGACUGGGAUAACUUCGGGAAACCGGAGCUAAUACCGGAUCAUAUAUUGAACCGCAUGGUUCAAUAGUGAAAGACGGUUUUGCUGUCACUUAUAGAUGGAUCCGCGCCGCAUUAGCUAGUUGGUAAGGUAACGGCUUACCAAGGCAACGAUGCGUAACCGACCUGAGAGGAUGAUCGGCCACACUGGAACUGAGACACGGUCCAGACUCCUACGGGAGGCAGCAGUAGGGAAUAUUCCGCAAUGGGCGAAAGCCUGACGGAGCAACGCCGCGUGAGUGAAGAAGGUCUUCGGAUCGUAAAACUCUGUUAGUAGGGAAGAACAAAUGUGUAAGUAACUAUGCACGUCUUGACGGUACCAAAUCAGAAAGCCACGGCUAACUACGUG
rnacentral:rRNA from 1 species